GAUUCAAUUUCUCUAAAUAGCAAUAGCUCUCAUACCACUGCAAGUGAAAUCUCAAAUCUGAUUGGUCAGAAGGUGUGCAUUAUUUUUGUACAACAGCACAGCUCAGCCAGUAACACCAGCUGUAACAUGAAUUAUAGGUUUAUAUUAAUGUACUCAUUCAUUAUUGUUUCUAAAGUAACAGCUUAUGCAGAGAGAUUUAUAUGGAAGGCACUCUACAUAAUCUAAGACUGAUAUUAACCAGAGUAAAAAACAUGUUUUAGCAAAGUAAAAUGUAUAAUCAUUGAUGGGAUGAUGUUUUUUGUUAGGAGACAUUUAUUUAACAUUUAUGUAAAGAUUCUUGGUUGUAAGUGCCUUGUGACAGUCAUGGUGCUUUGCAAAGUUUUCCAGUAGGAAACUAGAAAGACAGCAAACCAAGCAGGUGAGGGAGUCUAGUGAGGGAAGAACUGUUUAUCAUGGCUAUAACAAGAGAGAAUGAUAGCAAGAACUAACUUGUCUCUCGUAUAUUCCACAGCAUUAACUCUAACUAGAAACCAUUAAAAUGUGUGAUGUGUUGUUCAUUAAUAAAGUAAACCGUGUACAUAGAGAUGCACCGAUGUAUGGUUUAUAAACAUUCUAUGAUCAUGGCUGAUUAUAUCCUGUCAAUAAAAAGAGGGCAGGAAAACACAUCGAUUUCCUGCUGUGUGUAAAGAUGGUAUCUCUGGGGUGGAAUGACAACAAAACUGCAGCUCUGCACUGCAAAAACUUUACACCAGACGCUGCAACAGUGAAGCAGGAGUUUCGGCGUCGAGUCAAAUUUUUUUUUUGCCACGCUGCUCAAGCUGCUUGCGCUGCUCGCGCUGAAUUAAAGUGCCAGUACACUGUUGAAAAAUUUAAAUGAAGAUCAAGUAUAUAAUGCACAGAAAAAAAAUAUAUUUGUAGAGUAGUAUAUUUCAUAUCCAGUUAAUGUUAAUAUAUAUAAAAAAGUUUAUAUUAUAUAUUACCAGUUUGAAGUUAUUGAUGAAGUAGAAAUGCUUUUGUUUGUGGUGAGUGAGACUAACAGGAGUUUUUUUUUAGAAUUCAGUCAAUUAAUACUGUUAAUGUGAAUUAAUAACAUUCAAUAAGUUAAGAAAUCUUACUUUAAUCUUCAGAAUUUAGUUAAUGUGUUAAUGUUAAUUUGAGUAAUGUGUUUUCUGUGUAUGAGAACAGUUACUGUGAAACAACUUGUUGAAAUGGAGAGAAUAAAGUUUUUAUUUGCAUUUCUUUCAGAAUUGUGGAAUUAAUUAUUAUUAAUUUAAAAGAAGGCAUAAAAGGCAGAACUAUCUGUACCGGCCGAUAUCAAGAAUAAUCUGUUAUCGGUAUCGGCUGAGAAAUUUAGUAUCGGUGUAUCUCUAUUUGUAAACAUUGUUGGAAAAUUGCAGUGGUAUAAUUGCAUAAGCACAAUAACUCACUCACUGUGCUGUUAUACCAAACAAAACAAAACAAAACCUCUGCUUCACACUGAGUUGCAUCAUUCCCCCCUUGUGUGCAUUAUUUUUGCAUAACCUCAUGGUCUGUGAGUUAUUCAUUACUUCUUACAUACUAUAUGGUCAUAAAUAAAGUAUAGCUAUGAGAAUAGAGAGUAGACCAAUUCACUGCUGUACAGUAUAAUACAUAGCCUACUGUUUUUCUUUGUUAUACAUUUGCUGUACUUACACAACCUUAUCUUUUGUAUCAUUUUAUCAUAACCACAGCACAUGCAUGUGUUAUAGCUAGUGCAUUCACUGUUUGACUUUUGUUAUAUUGUCAAUUGGUAUAUAAUUUAACCAAUAACACUGUCUCAAAUGUAGACCAAUUCUGUGGGAAAACUGCAGACCUGGCAACACUGCUGUUAUCCAAAUUAAAGAGUAAAAGUAGCUGUUCAAAACAGCUUCAAAGUAAGCACAGAUCAAAAUUUCUUUAAAUAUUUUUUUUCUCACUCUUUCACACACAAAUUUAACACAGGCCAGUCAAAAUGGUUUGUGCGUUUGUCUGUGUGGGCAAAAAUAAAACUGUUUUUUUUUCACAUAUAACAAAUGGCCACUCCAGCACAAUGGCUAAUCCCACAUAUAUCCUGCUGUUGUGAUAAAUAAUACACUUGAGAGAAAAAUUUCACAUUACAGAAAACAAAUCCAUCAUGUUGGUCUUGUUAAACAUAUUUAUCAGUGGGGGAAAUGGAAUCAUAUGCUAGCCAUUGAUACAAACUAUGGAAGUUUAAAAAUAAAAGAGAAAGAUUAUGUAUUUUCAGUGUUAUUGAUACCAACUGUAAACAAACAAACAAACAAACAAACAAACAAACAAACAAAAAAACACUGAGCAAGCAUGUGAUAUCACCAGGAAAAUAUAAGUGGCUAUAAGUUGCAUGUCACAGCAGGGUGCUGUUCAAAAAACUGCAUUUAUAUUUAAUUGAAAAUGGUAUAUAAAUCAGACAAUCUAACACUGAUCUUUUGGAACUGACAUUGAUAAAGCAUAAUCAUAUUGGGACUUUGGACUAUAUGGACUGACAUGAUUCAUCAUUGCCUAUUCACCUUUUUUUAGUCAUCCUGGUCACGUUGAAUGUCGCACCAUAAUAACUCAAGGUGAAUGGACUUGUGUUGUAAUCUUGAAAAUGAUGAUCAUAUGAUGUGCUCAGACAGAACCUGAAUUCAAACCUGCAUGUACAGACCUAUACAUUUGGAAAACAAAACAAUCCAAUAUUUGCAACACAAGACUGCUGAAGAACUUUUGUUCUGUAAACAGAGAAGACAAAUGGUUUGAAAGAUGAGGCGAUCUAUGUCAGUCUCACGAAGAGUCUCAGAAUGGAGAAAACAAUCUGAGCACCAGCUUCUAAUUAAUGUUGUACUAGGAUAUUUACAGUACACACCACUCAACACCCCCAGAACCCAAUGCCAUGUCAGCAUCUUUAUGUCACAUGAAUGAAUAAAUGUUAAAUGACUUUCCAUCAAGCAGUAGAGUGGACCUCUAGUAUGUGGCAAAGCAACAUUAUAAGAUAAGUCACCACUAUGACCAGUUACAUACUACAUGCAUUUACUGCUUCAUCCUCUGUACCAAAGAGACUGACCUAAAAAAGCAGUAAGUGCUUUUAUUGAAUUAAUUUGUUGCUUUCACACUGUGAACUGUGCAUUGCACCAGCACUUUUAAAUGUAAACUAAAUGAAAAAGGUUUCCAACAUAUUCUUUUUCCUAAAGACUCAAAAAUAUAGAAAGAAAGAAAGAAAGAAAGAAAGAAAGAAAGAAAGA
ensembl:lncRNA